rnacentral:lncRNA from 1 species
GGAGGUCAGAUGGCGUUGUCUCACUCUUUCUGCUAGCUCUUUUGUAUGUAUUUAUGAGCUAUUAGGAGCUUUUUUGUCUCACUAUUAGGAGCUCUUUUGUAUGUAUUUAUGUAAUAGUUUUUCUUAUGCUCGCGUUGUAAUGAGCAGAACCCAAUACUCAGAGCCCUCUCAAUGUGUCUGCUGCUUUGCUCUGGAAGAACCAGGAAGGUUCGUAGAAUUUGCAUUUUUGUUCUUGAACUCGAUCCAAUGGUGCGUAGUAUUGGAAAACGUGGUUUUUACAAAUUCUGAUUGCGGAAUGCGGAGUACAGAAAAGCAGUGCGCAAAUAUUACAUGGAUACUGGAUAUUCAUUAGAUAACUGAUCAAAACAGCAGUAAUAAACUUCAAGAAGGAAGACCAUCUGAUCUAUCUAUGGAAAUAUUAGGCUUGGACAGUUAUUUCUUUCACUGAAAAAAUUAAGCUGUGUUAUGUUCAUCAAAAUUAAUCAAACCAUGAUUAUGUUUGUGGUAUCUGGUCAUGUUUGGAUUUGUUUAAAAAGUUAAGUAGCUUCUAGCUUUAUAACUUCAUCUAAAAUUUCUUGUAGCAC